AGGCAGUGUCUCCCUUCUUUGCUAAACCACAGGAACUGAGUUCAGACAGAGUAAUAAUCUGCGUGUCACCGGGCGAACAUCGGAGCUACACAAACCACCAUGCCAUCUGCCUCGGUCCUCCUCCGUCUGCUGAGCCUCUUCUGGGUUGGAGUGCUGCUGCUGAACUGCACACUGCGAGUGCACGCUUCGGAUACUAAGAAGUUGACCUGUUGUAAGAAAACAAGUCCAGUACGCAUAAAUACAGAGAUCACAAAGUGUGUGAUCCACCCCAAGACAGACCACUGUGUUGCUGCUGUCAUAUUCUUCAGCGAUGGGAAGCGUUACUGCAGUGCCCCACAUGCAAGGUGGGUCAGGAAAGAAGAAAAUGAACUGAAAAAGAAAGGAACACCAUGUUUGGACUGGAGGAAAAAUAUCACUGCUGUGGACAUGUGACUGAGUUUGUCUAUUGACCGUGUUUCUUUUGUUGUUGUAAUCUUCCUCAGUAACACUGUGACUGUGAUUGUAUGACCCUGAGUCCCCAGGUUAUUAGCCUUAGCUUUGUUUUCCUUUAUUUGUCUUCCUUUCUGUGGUGUAUCAUUUGUUGAGCAGCUCUUAGGUUAUUUAGCAGGAUAUUUUUUUAUUUGUAUAUUAUGGUGGUAAGGCAGGAACCUUUGCCACCUAUAUUUUUGUGUCAGGUAAUUUUAAUUUGGUAUUUAUUUAUGUAUUUAUUGUGCAGUAAUAUUCUUAAAAUGUGUACAUACCUUAACAUGAAUAACAUAUGUAUGUGUUAUGGAAACAUUUUAUGCUAACUUAUUAUUAUUACACAUUUUAUAUAUUUAUAUAUUAUAUAUGAUCUCUUCAUCCCUCUUUAUUUAUAUUUCCCCGAUAACAUGACCGUGUCUUGGUAUAUUAAACUGCCCAAAUGAAUAAAUAAUUAAUAAACUCUAUGUUUCCA
rnacentral:lncRNA from 1 species